UUAACAAUUUUAAUUAUGUCUAGUACACAACAGUUACUGUCGGAAAAUAUUUUGUAGCAAGUCGCCUGGAUUUGCACUUAGCAAGCAGUAUCUUUUCAAGUUAAAACUCGUGUUUUAGUAAUCAAGUUUCAAUUUUCUAACUCUUUCCCCCUCAAAAAAGUGAUUGGGUAAAAUGGUCCGUUUGAUAGAAGUAAGAUGUCGCUAACAUCGCAUUGUUUUGUAGUCCUGUAGAAAGUUCUGGAUGCUUUCUUUUCUUGUGUUUUUGGAAUAAAUUCAACACUAUAUCAAAUAUUGUGUACUAUCUGACAGGCUAACAACGUCUGGUUUUCGUCACCUGACUGAACUGUUUGACAUCUGCCUAAUCCUUCCUGGUAUGAAAAUUAUCUUUACUAAUCAGACAUUAGAAGGAUAUACUGAACUCUGAAUUACGUAACUGCUUCAGCGAAUCGCUGUCACUGGCUUCUUGAAUUUUCCCCAUCUUUUACUUGUGCUUUAGUUACCCUCAUGUCCUUUUUUUGCCUCUGGUUUUCCAAACGCGAGUUACAGAUAAAACGCAAAUCCCCUUACAAACUAAGCAAGGGCAAAAGAAACAUCGUCAACGAAUCGAUCCUUUUUAUUCAGUUCAAAUCUUCGAUCUUAUGCACAAUUGCGCACAAUUGUACCGUUGUUUUUUACUUCAAGUAAGUCAUGAACUAGAAUGGCUUAGAAGUGUCAUGUGAAAGUGCCCAAAUUUAAUUUUUUCAUUUGGCUAUACCCAUAAUGAGAUAAAAACUGUGCCAUUCACCUGUGACUGAGAAGUCGUUGCUUUAGGCGAAAUUAAUAACCAAAAUUAAAUUGCGACACAAUUGUUUGUUACUUAUUGUUGUUUGUUUUUGUUAUUUUAAAUUCAAUGGACUGACGUCGAUUGUCACCACCAGUUUUGAAGUUUGGGGCUUUAGCUGUUUGUGGUGUAUUGGCUGCUUUUCGGUGAGGACGGGAUGAUCGUGACUUGGAUUUGGAAUCCUGGAAGUGUUCCUCACUAUAAGCUCCGGUCAACAUUAUGUCUUGCGGAUGCAUGUGUGCCUUACUUUCCCGCCAGAAGCCGUUCUUCUGGAGUGGACAGCCGGAAGUGGUUGAUUCCUGCAAAAUUUUUGACAUUAUUUUUUACGUCCCUCGGAUCUCGAGUCGGCCGCCGAUGUCAAUCUACAACGCUGUUUCUUUGAUGGAAUUGUGUGGUCCCUGCACGAUGACAGAUAAGUCAUGGACGUUUUGCACAAUCGAUAUCUUCGUGACGCACACUCAUCUAGCUUCACUGCUUCUCAUGCUGCUACUCAACUCGUCUUAGCACUGGCCAGUCAGAUCACUCCAGUGAUCGCUUCCGUCCGCUGUUACAGUGUUACACACCUGCAGUCACUCACCACGGGAUUACCAACACCACGAGGUACCCAACAAUUGACUUAGUUUCCUCCACGUUCCUCCUUCCUCCUUCCACGUUCCUCUUCUGUCCUCGCGUACGUCUAUGUGAGCGCAAAGGUAUCCAUGGGGACGUCGUAUAUAUUCCGCUUCCACCUCCAGAAGUCACCACUGCUACCCUAAUCAUUCAUUUGGCCAUCAAGUUAAUAAUAAGGUUCGGCAACUGCUUGGUCAAAAUGGUGCUGCUGUUCAUCCAUGGGUGAAGAUACAUAGUACACGCCUGCACUUAAUUUUUACUACCAUGUGUGAAUUGUUCAUCGAUGUUUGAAGUUGAGGGUUUUUUAUGAAGUCUGAAGAGUGUCUGAAGAUAUUUUGUAGUCAGCCCUUGACCAAAGAAGGGAAUUCAACAUUAUCGAUAAUCAGAUUUAAAUUAUGUAGCAGAUCUAACUUGAGUUGUGCUAUCUUUGUUACCUGCAAUUUGUCGCAAUGGUAUUUUUAUUUGUAUCACUUAGUAAUGAAAUAUACAAUCUAAAAUUGA
rnacentral:lncRNA from 1 species